AGCACUUCUCUGGAUGCCGUCAACCGGAUCCAAUUCUCACAGCCUGAUUCCUGAGUUUUGAGCUGUACUGAUGUUAACAAUGAUUCUGUGAAGGAAAGGAAAAGCUCUGCAAGUACUAAACUAUGUAACACUGCAUAAUGAACAUAUCGUGAAGCCAUUAAAAUUGCAUGGGGUAUAAUCUGAACAUCACAUUACCCUUUGAAAAAGCUGCCUGGAGCGGCGAAACGCGUAAGGAAACACUGCUCCUGACCAUUGGACAUUAUUUAAGACAGCUCCAUCUGGCUCCAAACCCAGGA